GUGGGGAAUUUUGGACAAUGGGGGAAACCCUGAUCCAGCGACGCCGCGUGAAGGAUGAAGGUCUUCGGAUUGUAAACUUCUUUUAUGAGUGAAGAAUAUGACGGUAACUCAUGAAUAAGCACCGGCUAACUACGUGCCAGCAGCCGCGGUCAUACGUAGGGUGCAAGCAUUAUCCGGAGUGACUGGGCGUAAAGAGUUGCGUAGGCGGUUAUGUAAGCGAAUAGUGAAACCUGGUGGCUCAACCACACAGACUAUUAUUCGAACUGCAUAACUUGAGAAUGGUAGAGGUAACUGGAAUUUCUUGUGUAGGAGUGAAAUCCGUAGAUAUAAGAAGGAACACCAAUGGCGUAGGCAGGUUACUGGGCCAUUUCUGACGCUAAGGCACGAAAGCGUGGGGAGCGAACCGGAUUAGAUACCCCAGUAGUCC
rnacentral:rRNA from 1 species